rnacentral:rRNA from 1 species
UACGUAGGGGGCGAGCGUUGUCCGGAGUUACUGGGCGUAAAGCGCACGCAGGCGGUCUGCUAAGUUUGGAGUGACAGUUGGUGGCUUAACUGCCAAAGUGCUUCGAAAACUGACAGACUUGAGGGCUUCAGAGGGACACGGAAUUCCGGGUGGAGUGGUGAAAUGCGUAGAGAUCCGGAGGAACACCAAAGGCGAAGGCAGUGUCCCGGGUGGUCGCUGACGCUGAGAGGCGAAAGCCAGGGGAGCGAACGGG